rnacentral:rRNA from 1 species
AUCCAAAGUUAAAUUUCCUUCCAAAUGUGCACAAUCUCGUCUGAUCUUGGAAGUUAAGCAGGGUCGGGUUUGGUUAGUACUUGGCUGGGAAUACUCAUUCACUUUUAACC